GGGAAUUUGAACUACAUGAAAAGAAAGCAUAAAAGCCACUUGUUCCACUUCUACUAAAGCUCACUGCAAUGAAGGAAACAAAGAAAAAGACUGUCCCUGAGAGCAGGAGACACAGCAAUUGGGAUGGUGUGGGGAAGAAUAAAUAAGAAGACUAGAUUGAAGAAAUUCUUUUUUUCCCAAACUAUUGACAAGUAAAAUAUUUAAUGAAGACUCCAAA